rnacentral:rRNA from 1 species
CCUACGGGGUGCAGCAGUGAGGAAUAUUGGUCAAUGGGCGCGAGCCUGAACCAGCCAAGUCGCGUGAGGGAAGACGGUCCUAUGGAUUGUAAACCUCUUUUGUCGGGGAGCAAAAGACGCCACGCGUGGCGUUCCGAGAGUACCCGAAGAAAAAGCAUCGGCUAACUCCGUACCAGCAGCCGCGGUAAUACGGAGGAUGCGAGCGUGAUCCGGAUUUGUUGGGUUUAAAGGGUGCGAAGGCGGAAGAUCAAGGCAGCGGGAAAAUUGAGAGGCUCAACCUGUUCGAGCCGUUGAAACUGGUUUUCUUGAGUGAGCGAGAAGUAUGCGGAAUGCGUGGUGUAGCGGUGAAAUGCAUAGAUAUCAGGCAGAACUCCGAUUGCGAAGGCAGCAGACCGGCGCUCAACUGACGCUGAUGCACGAAAGUGUGGGUAGCGAACAGGAUUAGAUACCCGAGUAGUC